GUGGGGAAUAUUGGACAAUGGGCGAAAGCCUGAUCCAGCCAUGCCGCGUGUGUGAAGAAGGUCUUCGGAUUGUAAAGCACUUUAAGUUGGGAGGAAGGGCAGUAAGUUAAUACCUUGCUGUUUUGACGUUACCGACAGAAUAAGCACCGGCUAACUUCGUGCCAGCAGCCGCGGUAAUACGAAGGGUGCAAGCGUUAAUCGGAAUUACUGGGCGUAAAGCGCGCGUAGGUGGUUUUGUAAGUUGGAGGUGAAAUCCCCGGGCUCAACCUGGGAACUGCCUCCAAAACUGCAUGACUAGAGUACGGUAGAGGGUAGUGGAAUUUCCUGUGUAGCGGUGAAAUGCGUAGAUAUAGGAAGGAACACCAGUGGCGAAGGCGACUACCUGGACUGAUACUGACACUGAGGUGCGAAAGCGUGGGGAGCAAACAGGAUUAGAAACCCCGGUAUCC
rnacentral:rRNA from 1 species